rnacentral:rRNA from 1 species
UAUCUCUGUAGAGUCUGCAUAUCAAUAAGCGGAGGAAAAGAAACUAACUAGGAUUCCCUCAGUAACGGCGAGUGAAGCGGGAAGAGCUCAAAUUUGAAAUCUUCAAGGUUCUACCUUGACGAAUUGUAGUUUAAAGAAGUGUUUUCUGUUGGAGUUUUGGUAAAAGUUCUUUGGAAUAGGACAUCAUAGAGGGUGAGAGUCCCGUAUUUGACCAUUAUUUCCAGCUUUGUGAUACACUUUCAAAGAGUCGGAUUGUUUGGGAAUGCAGUCCAAAAUGGGUGGUAAAUUUCAUCUAAAGCUAAAUACUUGGCGAGAGACCGAUAGCGAACAAGUACCGUGAGGGAAAGAUGAAAAGAACUUUGAAAAGAGAGUUAAACAGUACGUGAAAUUGUCAAAAGGGAAGCGUUUGACACCAGUGUUGUUUUCUCGAAAAUCAAUUAAAAAAGGCAGGAUUUUGUGUUGUAUUGACUUUAUCAGCUUACUGCGACUCUUUUCUUGUCUUUUUUAAUGCACUUUUCGUUUAACAAGUCAACAUCAAUUUCUUUUGUUGUAAAAGAGUCAUUGGAAGGUGGCUUUCACUUCGGUGAAAGUGUUUAUAGCCUUUGGCUUCUGCAAUCGGAGAGAUUGAGGUCUGCAGCGUAGAUCCUUCGGGGCUAGAUACGUAGAUGCUAAGUUAUAGUUUUUUAUAGACAACUUGUUGACUAUAAUUAAUCAUGUAGCUUACUCGUUUGCGCUAUUUUACCUACGCUUAGGAUGUUGAAGUCAUCGUAUCGCGC